rnacentral:rRNA from 1 species
CAGCAGUGGGGAAUAUUGCACAAUGGGGGGAAAACCCUGAUGCAGCCAUGCCGCGUGUGUGAAGAAGGCCUUCGGGUUGUAAAGCACUUUCAGUAGGGAGGAAGGUAGUGUAGUUAACACCUGCACAUUUGACGUUACCUACAGAAGAAAGCACCGGCUAACUCCGUGCCAGCAGCCGCGGUAAUACGGAGGGUGCGAGCGUUAAUCGGAAUUACUGGGCGUAAAGCGCAUGCAGGCGGCCUGUUAAGUCAGGUGUGAAAGCCCGGGGCUUAACCUCGGAAUUGCAUUUGAAACUGGCAGGCUAGAGUCUUGUAGAGGGGGGUAGGAAUUUCAGGUGUAGCGGUGAAAUGCGUAGAGAUCUGAAGGAAUACCAGUGGCGAAGGCGGCCCCCUGGACAAAGACUGACGCUCAGAUGCGAAAGCGUGGGGAGCAAACAGGAUUAGAUACCCUGGUAG